rnacentral:rRNA from 1 species
UACGUAGGUCCCGAGCGUUGUCCGGAUUUAUUGGGCGUAAAGCGAUCGCAGGUGGUUUAUUAAGUCUGGUGUAAAAGGCAGUGGCUCAACCAUUGUAUGCAUUGGAAACUGGUAGACUUGAGUGCAGGAGAGGAGAGUGGAAUUCCAUGUGUAGCGGUGAAAUGCGUAGAUAUAUGGAGGAACACCGGUGGCGAAAGCGGCUCUCUGGCCUGUAACUGACACUGAGGCUCGAAAGCGUGGGGAGCAAACAGG